GCGAUGUGUUGAUAUAUAUUGUGAAAUCUGUCAUCUCACAAGCUUUCACUCCAUCGAACAAUAGUUGCAAGCUAAAUAGUCCUAAUGAUUUCUUUGUUUGCAAGAAGCUUGCGAAAUUCUAUACUCUCAACUUGAAGGUACUGAACUACACGGACAUAUGUUCCUAGCCAGGCUGUAGAAAAUAUAUAUUGAAUAAAUUGUUCUAAACGAAGACAAUGUCCUUUUUCUGAUGAUAGACUUAGAUAUGGUGAAUUAAUUGUUCUUAUUCUACUUUCCAAACUUGCAUACACUAGGUGGAUCUUUGUCUUUAUGAAAAAACAAGAUGAUAUUACACAGGUUCAACAGGCUAGGAAAUCUGGACUCCUUUUUGCAUAUGUUCCAGCUCCUACCGGAAGGUGCCAAACAUCAGAAUGAUUUUGUGGAUCCUGUCAGGGUGUCCACAUGCUUCUUGAGCAUUGAUUUUUGUGGAUUCAGUCUAGCUGUACCUCUAGAGAUUUUGACAUAUUUAGCUGGUCAGUGGUAAAAAAUAGAAUGACAUCAAAUGGAUUCUGUAAGAAAAAGAUAAAUGGAGGAGAAGAGCUGCAUAACGGCAUCGAUAAUUUGGGAUGUAACAAUAAUGUUUAACAUUUCCUUCUUGAAAAGCCAGCUGGUCUUUUCUCUUACCCUACAAUAUAUUUUCCAAAGUCGUGAGGAGAAUAAAAUGCAUAUUUGUGUGUUCUAUUUUGCUCUCUCUGGCUCUCCCUCCCCACUGAACUAGAUGGCUCCAACAAAUACUUUAAAUGGCACGGCUUUACCAGAGUACUCAUAUUAUUUAGUAGCUAUAUUUUAUAUGUCAGGACAAUCUUUGUUUCAAUGGUUCAGUAGGCAUGGACAAGAUUAUCACAUAGAUAAAGAUUCAUUAUUGCACAAUCAAGUUCUCCUUAAGGUGUGUUAUCACAACCUUCCUUAAACAUAGCUAAUGAAGCUUCAUUUUGAGGGUCCAAUGGUCAACCAAAGUGAUACAGGGGUUCAUACAUAGGUUUGCAGGUUCCUUUGAUGUACAUAUCACUAUUUUUUUGAUUGUUCCUUGAUACACAGGUUACAAAGUUAUUUCAUUGUAUUUUCUAGACAAUGUGUUCUGCGAGUAGUUCAUAUAUGUAUGACAUCCACUCAUGUGUUGGGAAAUAUUCAAGCCAAGUACAUACUUCGGUGACUUAUGCGAAAUAUUGAUUAUGAUAAAUUUUACUACAGGAGUUCAUAGAUAGAUUUGCAGGUUCCUUUGGUGUAUAUAUCACUGAAUUUUCUAUUCUUCCUUCAUAGACAGGUUACAAAGUUAUUUCAAUCUGUUUUCUAGACAACGUGUUCUCAGAGUAGUUCAGUGACUUCCUUCAUACGACAUCCACUCAUGUGUUGGGAAAACAUUCAAGUCAAGUAUAUACUUCAGUGACUUGCUACAAACCCCUAAUACCUAUAUUUACCUUGCUUCUGGGUUCAGGGAGCAUGAAGAAGAGAGGCACUGGUAUGUCUCUGCAAAGGGAAGCAACAUAUGUGCACAGCCCACAAGACCACGAACACCACUUCGGGUAGCUUUGAACGAAUCAACG